AUUGAACGCUGGCGGCAGGCCUAACACAUGCAAGUCGAACGAGUGGCGGACGGGUGAGUAAUGCCUGGGAAUCUGGCUUAUGGAGGGGGAUAACGACGGGAAACGGUCGCUAAUACCGCGUACCAUAGGAUGAGCCCAAAUGGGAUUAGGUAGUUGGUGGGGUAAAGGCCUACCAAGACGACGAUCUCUAGCUGGUCUGAGAGGAUGACCAGCCCCGCCGGGUGUGAGACACGGCCCCGACUCCUACGGGAGGCAGCAGUGGGGAAUAUUGCGCAAUGGGGGCAACCUGACGCAGCCAUGCCGCGUGGAUGAAGAAGGCCUUCGGGUUGUAAAGUUCUUUCGGUGACGAGGCGUUAAUCGCAGAAGAAGCACCGGCUAACUCCGUGCCAGCAGCCGCGGUAAUAC
rnacentral:rRNA from 1 species